ACCAACUGAUUUAGCAGCUAUGGGAGGCUCAUUGCUAACCCUGAGCCAGGAAAGAUGAGAAGCCACCCAGCUGAUACCCCAGAACCUCCCAAAGUCUCAGGAAUGGCAGCACCAUGUGUUUCUAAAAGUGGAGGUCAGAGAGAGGAUCCUUGGAAAAGCUGUCAAAGAAGAAGUGAGGGAGUACAAGGAUUUCCUCUCAUUAAGGGGGCCUGUGAGAGGAGACUGUGAAAAGACUGGUCUAGUUGAAGCACGUGCCUGGCUCAGAGUUGGGUGUUGUGUGAGGCUAUCAUAAGCCCCUGAGACACAGUGACCAGUGAAGGACAUCUAUUAUGAAGAUGACAACAUUCUGAAUCAUUUCAGGUGAAGAAAUUAAGGCCCUGUCCCCCACUGGGCCCCACCAGCUAGUGAAUGAGGAAGUCUCUGGUCUAGAUCCCAUUACUUUCAUUCAAGAUCCUUGUUAGCACACUGUCUCCCUAGAGCUGAUGGAAUGAAUCCGACCUUCUUGGAAAAAAGGAAAGCUUUCUAGAGACCGAGUGCUUAGUAAGUCCUCGAUCAUGAAGUCAACGCUUCUGAAAGUGGCACCUUUUCUUGAGAGGGUGCUUGCUUUCCUCCUCCUUCGAUAGACCACGCUCCAUGAAUUCCUGGAAUAGUUUCA